UACGUAGGGGGCAAGCGUUGUCCGGAAUCAUUGGGCGUAAAGAGCGUGUAGGCGGCCCGGUAAGUCCGCUGUGAAAGUCCAGGGCUCAACCCUGGGAUGCCGGUGGAUACUGUCGGGCUCGAGUCCGGAAGAGGAGUGUGGAAUUCCUGGUGUAGCGGUGAAAUGCGCAGAUAUCAGGAGGAACACCAAUGGCGAAGGCAGCACUCUGGGACGUGACUGACGCUGAGACGCGAAAGCGUGGGGAGCAAACAGGAUUAGAUACCCUGGUAGUCCACGCUGUAAACGAUGGGCACUAGGUGUGGGGGGUGUCGACUCCCUCCGUGCCGAAGCUAACGCAUUAAGUGCCCCGCCUGGGGAGUACGGCCGCAAGGCUAAA
rnacentral:rRNA from 1 species